rnacentral:rRNA from 1 species
UACGUAGGAUGCAAGCGUUGUCCGGAUUUACUGGGCGUAAAGCGCGCGCAGGCGGCACACCAAGUACCCUAUGAAAUCUCCUUGCUCAACGGGGAGGGUGUUGGGUAGACUGGUGAGCUAGAGGACGGUAGAGGGGGGGUAGAAUUGCUGGUGUAGCGGUGAAAAUGCGUAGAGAUCAGCAGGAAUACCCCGUGGCGAAGGCGGC